rnacentral:rRNA from 1 species
UACGUAGGGUGCGAGCGUUAAUCGGAAUUACUGGGCGUAAAGCGUGCGCAGGCGGCUUCGCAAGUCAGACGUGAAAUCCCCGGGCUUAACCUGGGAAUGGCGUUUGAAACUACGGAGCUGGAGUGUGGCAGAGGGAGGUAGAAUUCCACGUGUAGCGGUGAAAUGCGUAGAUAUGUGGAGGAAUACCGAUGGCGAAGGCAGCCUCCUGGGAUAACACUGACGCUCAUGCACGAAAGCGUGGGGAGCAAACAGG